UAGUACGGCGAGUGACCGGGAAGAGCUCAAAUUUGAAAUCUGGCGUGCUCAGUGCGUCCGAGUUGUAAUCUAUAGAGGCGUUUUCCGUGCCGGACUGUGUCCAAGUCCCUUGGAACAGGGUAUCAAAGAGGGUGAUAAUCCCGUACUUGACACAAUGACCGGUGCUCUGUGAUACGUCUUCUACGAGUCGAGUUGUUUGGGAAUGCAGCUCAAAAUGGGUGGUGAGUUCCAUCUAAAGCUAAAUAUUGGCGAGAGACCGAUAGCGAACAAGUACCGUGAGGGAAAGAUGAAAAGCACUUUGGAAAGAGAGUUAAACAGUACGUGAAAUUGUUGAAAGGGAAACGAUUGGAGUCAGUCGUGACUGAGAGGCUCAGCCGGUUCUGCCGGUGUAUUCCCCUCAGUCGGGUCAACAUCAGUUUUGUUCGGUGGAUAAGGGCAGUUGGAAGGUGGCACCCUCGGGUGUGUUAUAGCCAGCUGUCGCAUACAUCGGAUGAGACUGAGGAAUGCAGCUCGCCUUUAUGGCCGGGGUUCGCCCACGUUCGAGCUUAGGAUGUUGACAUAAUGGCUUUAAACGACCCGUCUUGGA
rnacentral:rRNA from 1 species